GAGUUUGAUCGUGGCUCAGGACGAACGCUGGCGGCGUGCCUAAUACAUGCAAGUCGAGCGAGUCUCUUCGGAGGCUAGCGGCGGACGGGUGAGUAACACGUAGGCAACCUGCCUCUCAGACCGGGAUAACAUAGGGGAAACUUAUGCUAAUACCGGAUAGGUUUUUGGAUUGCAUGAUCCGAAAAGAAAGAUGGCUUUUCGCUAUCACUGGGAGAUGGGCCUGCGGCGCAUUAGCUAGUUGGUGGGUAACGGCCUACCAAGGCGACGAUGCGUAGCCGACCUGAGAGGGUGACCGGCCACACUGGGACUGAGACACGGCCCAGACUCCCACGGGAGGCAGCAGUAGGGAAUUUUCCACAAUGGACGAAAGUCUGAUGGAGCAACGCCGCGUGAACGAUGAAGGUCUUCGGAUUGUAAAGUUCUGUUGUCAGGGACGAACACGUACCGUUCGAAUAGGGCGGUACCUUGACGGUACCUGACGAGAAAGCCACGGCUAACUACGUGCCAGCCGCCGCGGU
rnacentral:rRNA from 1 species